UGUCACUCAGGAGUUCUCUUGCUAUAUGCCUGGACUAGUUACCUCUUGGGUGGUGCGUACAGGCAUCUUUGGUGACAAUGGCCCUUGGGUACAAAGGCUCUAAGGAAGAGAGAGAAUAGCAUGUGAACUCUUUUGAUGCCCUCACUCAGAAGAGACAUUGAACUCCUUCGGUGGUUCUCAUCAGCAAAAGCUGGUCCAGAGCUCACUGUGGAGCCCAGGCUGGCC